rnacentral:rRNA from 1 species
GGUUAAAAAGCUCGUAGUUGGAUUUCUGUUGAAGACUGUCGGUCUGCUCUAUGAGCAUGUAUCUGAUGUGGCUUCGGCAUCCUCUUGAGGUGUGCUUAUGCGCUUGAUUGCGUGGGGCAGGCCCCAAGACUUUUACUCUGAGGAAAUUAGAGUGUUCACGGCAGGCAAGCGUCAUGAAUAUAUUAGCAUGGAAUAAUAAUAUAGGAUUUAGGUUCUAUUUUAUUGGUUUCUAGGACUUAGAUAAUGAUUAAUAGGGAUAAUUGGGGGCAUUUGUAUUAACUCGUCAGAGGUGGAAUUCUUGGAUUGAGUUACGACAAACUACUGCGAAAGCAUUUGCCAAGGAUGUUUUCAU